rnacentral:misc_RNA from 1 species
UGUGUGUUUUGUGUUGCAUUAAACGAGCGAAACAGCCAAUAUUUUAAAGAUGGCGUGGACAGGAGCAUAUUUCUUUUUGAUAAUUUUGACUGGAGCCGUAGGUGCCUGCAACGUAAAACCAAGACGGACAGAUAUCACGGACUUCGGAUAUAAGAGCAUGUUUCAUGGAUGGGUAGACGUUCAAGGACAGGGAGCGAACAAUGACUAUUGCAGAUGCGUUGGAAAUCGACCGAAUACGUAUGUUUCGUGUAUGCUGGCCAAAAGGUUGAGCUUUGGGUCCAACCAGUAUGAAUGCAGAGUUCCUGGGUCCAACGGUUGUUAGAUGUGUUGGAAAUAAACCAAAAGUUUACGUUUCGUGUAUGCUGGCCGAUAGGUUCGGCUUCCAGUGUAACCAGUAUGGCCAUAGAGUUUCCGGACCCAAUUCGUGCUAAAUCAUCUUCACGGAUUAUUAUUAUUAUUAUUAUGUAUAAUAAUAAUAAUAAUAAAAGAAUAUUAAAAAAAUAAAACAAGUUUUAAACUGUU